rnacentral:lncRNA from 1 species
GGGGAUGUUCACCAGCGCAGAGCAGAGAGCUUGCCACCAGACAGGCCGGGCCUGGCUGAGUCAUCCAGGUGCCAGGGCGGGCCCGUCCAGGGCCAAACUCAGAGUGGGGCUCCGCCAGCAGAGCCCGUCUCCGGUAAUAAGCCAGGCAAGGGUUUAUUUGCCUUCUCUCCAUCAUCAGGGAGGGCAGAGCCUGCGCCCAGGCCCACCGCCCGGGGGCCUGUCCUGGGGGUCCCUCCCUCCUCGUGGAAGGUGAUCAACCUCAAUGCCACACACGGUUGGGAUGUCACCUUCCAAAAGGCACGAUUAUCAUUGUCCGAGUUCAGCCUCUAAAUAAACGAACCAGGGCUUCUCAGAAAGUCCUGCUGGGGCUCCGCAAGACACUUCAGGUGGAAAAUUGCGUGGACUUCAAUGAGAUUAGGUCCCAUCGUGAAAAGGUGCCUAGAGAAGACCCAGAGUUCAGCGAGUGAGCCCGUCAGCCGCUGGAGUAGGGAGCAGGCGAGCUGUGCGCAGAGAAGCACGACCAAGGCUCGGGCGCUCUCACCAUCGAGACACCACAACCAACACCCUCCUCGCCAUUGCCAUGGCAGUGGUGGCUCGUGGUUCAAGUGCCAAAGGUGGGGACAGGAAAAAGAUCAAGAGGUCAACAUAGAGGACGAUUGUCCUCGUCAACAUCUGUACUGAGAGUGCCCAUGGCGUUGCCGAGCACUCCUCCCGCGGCGGAGGCCCUGCAGACUGCAUCACCGCCUCCGAGUACUUCCCGCCAGAACCAGGGUGACGGGGUCUGGAAAACAACGGCAAGACCUGCCCCAGACGAGUCUCCAUCUCUGAAGUGGAAGCCCUUCGUUCAAGCCAACCGCGUGGGCAGAGCCUCAUCCGCGCGAAAGAUGCAAAGCAGAGAAAGAGAUGGUGAGAAAACCAGGUCUCAGCGCUCGCCGGGGAGCCGUCAGAGGCAGGAAGGCAGGAGCUGGAGCAGAAGAAAGAAGCCACACAGUGACCGGAGCUGCCAGCCAUUGUCCGACGUGGUAGCCUCGGGCCCCCCGUGGCUAGCGAGUCCUUACAAUGGGGCUAGUUCUAUUGCGGAAUCGAAC